AUAUGGAUAGCUCAGUUGGUGAGAGCAUGGUGCUGAAAAAACUGAGGUUGCAGGUUCAGUCCCUGUAUGAUGUUCCUGCAUAUU